UGACUGAAGCGUGAUAUUUGUCUGCUGUUCUGUGCACAUGCUUCCCGUCAUGCGUUUAUAAGGCCUGACGUGCUGAGAGAACACAGAGCUGACAAAACUGCGGGCGCGCGCCCGCAGCGCGUGUCGUGAAGGACCCAGAUGCGGCUGAAAUUAGUGAAGGAGAAGCGUGUAAGCGGUGAAGGCAGAGGCGCGUGACGGCUGUAUGAAAGCGUCCUGCUCCUGAACAAAACAACAGCCCUGCUGCAAUUACCGUGCAGGUGGAGGAAGUGCAACAGCCCUCGGGUGACUGACGGAGAUUAUGCAGUGAUGAAGAUGAUCUGCAAAAGCCGUAUGCGACGUCACCAUUUCACCAGAGUACCCUGCAGAAUGGAGUGCGACAGCUCGUCUGUCAGAGCGGAGCCUCUGACUUUCACCGUACCCUUGCCGGCAGGUUUGCGCAGGAGUUAACUGACUGACAGUCGGCACGCAAACACAUCUCAUCCUCCGCCUAGCAGCAAAUGUAUGCACAGCAGGGGUGUAUAAAUUGUGCUGCGCAAUGGAGAUCAGUUGGGUAAUAGAUGAUGAGGUUCUCAGAAAAGGUCAUCCUUAAAUGUCAGUGCUCUGUCUCAAUGGCUUUCUCACUUCUGUCACAACGCAACCAUGGAGCGACUCCAUCAGUCACAAAAGACUGCAACUGCGCCAUCAGCUUAAGAUGCUAGCCAUGGGGGGUGGGAGGGUGCUAAAAUAACUACGCUGGCCUAAUAAACUUGGUCCAGUGGGCCAAGACCUUACCUAAUCACAUUCCUCUCCAAAACACACAGUAGAAUCCAGGCUUUCAAUGUUCAAUUGAAAAAAAAAUCAAGCUCAUUGGAUCUGAAUUUCACAAUGCCAGCCUCGAGUAUGACUUUUCGACCUGACAGCUAUGACCACGAGCUGUUUAAAAGUCUGGAGAUGCCAUUGCCUGAGAGUUCUCAUGUAGCUCUCGUUUUAAACUCAGAGCCCGCUCCAAACAAGCCUGGCGUAAUUCACACACAUUAAACAGCAACGAGAGAGCUGUUUUUUUUCAGGCUAAGUUGGUUUCUUUAGCUGAGUGCUAAUCAGAAUCAAACACGUCUGAUUGGGUGGAGAGGCAUGACUGAUUGGCUCACGCUCUGUCGACUGCGUUCCUUCAAACCAUGCGCCGAGCCACUUUUACGCCUGUCUGCCAAUUACACAGGGGUGGAUAGCUGUCUGCCAGAGAGCAGGUGUCAAUGGAGCGAACUUGAGUCAAAAUAUGCACGAAACGCAUGCGCGUGAGAGAAAAAAAGUGUAUGUUUGUCUUUUUACGUGCUUGGACAACAUAUCAGUGUGGAUGUGUGUAAAUAAACUCUGCACUCGCUACGGUAUCGCUUUCUGAUGGCCAAUUAGCCAAGGCCAUCAUUUCCCAUUGUGCUAAAGGCCAGACGUCAGCGAGAAGGCCGAGGGCUGUUCCUCCCUGCUGUUUAUUUAUUUAAGUAUCCUUGUGUCUUACAGACAAAGUCAGAUUGAUAGAUUAAGCUAUCCAGCCUCCGGAUCAAUAACCACGGCGGAACGAGGGAGCGACUGGGAACUUUUAAUGCACACACUCUGUUUAAUGUGCACACUCUGUGUUUUGUAGUCAAAGGCGAACCAAGUUUGUCCGAAUGACAGAGGAAGGCAUUAAUGGCCGAGAGCGCAGACGAUUAAAUGUGAAAACUGACAAACCAAGAGAAAUGAAAAGUCUCAUCCGUGUAAGUCCAUGUGUAAUGUGUUUUUAGUGUGGGAGGGGGGGGUGGUUAGCGAAACAAAUACAGCAGCUACAGUAAAGUACAAAUGGCUUUGUGAGCGGAAGCCGGCCCCUGUGCUCUGAUCUGUUACCAGUUCCACCGACAAUCCUGACAUUAACCAAAUUAAGAAAACAAGGGGGAAAAGCUGGUUUUGGACCAUCGGCUAGUGGGGCGACUUCUGCCAAUGCCAUAAAUCACAUCUACAACAGGAAAGGAGGGGAAGCAGGCAGGAGCCUUGAGUCCUGUCCUUUCCUUCUAACUACAGACUGUGUGUAUGUGUGAGUGUGUAAGAGAGGACAGAGGCGGCUAGAGUUAAGAGCAGCAUGGAGAGAGCAGCAGUCACACAGAUCUACGGCCAGA